rnacentral:tRNA from 1 species
UCCCCGGUAGCUCAACGGUAGAGCGGGCGGCUGUUAACCGCUAGGUUGGGGGUUCGAGACCCUCCCGGGGAGCCA